rnacentral:rRNA from 1 species
CUCCUUUGACGUUAGCGGCGGACGGGUGAGUAACACGUGGGUAACCUACCUAUAAGACUGGGAUAACUUCGGGAAACCGGAGCUAAUACCGGAUAAUAUUUCGAACCGCAUGGUUCGAUAGUGAAAGAUGGUUUUGCUAUCACUUAUAGAUGGACCCGCGCCGUAUUAGCUAGUUGGUAAGGUAACGGCUUACCAAGGCGACGAUACGUAGCCGACCUGAGAGGGUGAUCGGCCACACUGGAACUGAGACACGGCCCAAACUCCUACGGGAGGCAGCAGGC